rnacentral:rRNA from 1 species
CAGCAGCCGCGGGAAUACGGAGGGGGCUAGCGUUGUUCGGAAUUACUGGGCGUAAAGCGCACGUAGGCGGCUUGGUAAGUUAGAGGUGAAAGCCUGGAGCUCAACUCCAGAAUUGCCUUUAAGACUGCCGAGCUAGCAGGUGAGAGAGGUAAGUGGAAUUCCGAGCGUAGAGGUGAAAUUCGUAGAUAUUCGGAAGAACACCAGUGGCGAAGGCGGCUUACUGGCUCAUACUGGACGCUGAGGUGCGAAAGCGUGGGGAGCAAACAGGAUUAGAUACCCCCGUAGUCCCUGUCUCUUAUAU